UACGGGGGGGGGCAAGCGUUGUUCGGAAUUACUGGGCGUAAAGGGCUCGUAGGCGGCCAACUAAGUCGGACGUGAAAUCCCCAGGCUCAACCUGGGAACUGCGUCCGAUACUGGAUGGCUUGAAUCCGGGAGAGGGAUGCAGAAUUCCAGGUGUAGCGGUGAAAUGCGUAGAUAUCGGGAAGAACACCCGUGGCGAAGGCGGCUCUCUGGGACGGUACUGACGCUGAGACGCGAAAGCGUGGGGAGCGAACAGG
rnacentral:rRNA from 1 species